rnacentral:rRNA from 1 species
GAUGAACGCUGGCGGCGUGCCUAAUACAUGCAAGUCGAGCGAACGGACGAGAAGCUUGCUUUUCUGAUGUUAGCGGCGGACGGGUGAGUAACACGUGGAUAACCUACCUAUAAGACUGGGAUAACUUCGGGAAACCGGAGCUAAUACCGGAUAAUAUUUUGAACCGCAUGGUUCAAUAGUGAAAGACGGUCUUGCUGUCACUUAUAGAUGGAUCCGCGCUGCAUUAGCUAGUUGGUAAGGUAACGGCUUACCAAGGCAACGAUGCAUAGCCGACCUGAGAGAGUGAUCGGCCACACUGGAACUGAGACGCGGUCCAGGCGCCUACGGGAGGCAGCAGUAGGGAAUCUUCCGCAAUGGGCGAAAGCCUGACGGAGCGACGCGGCGUGAGUGAUGAAGGUCUUCGGAUCGUAAAACUCUGUUAUUAGGGAAGAACAUAUGUGUAAGUAACUGUGCACAUCUUGACGGUACCUAAUCAGAAAGCCACGGCUAACUACGUG